UACGAAGGGGGCUAGCGUUGCUCGGAAUCAUUGGGCGUAAAGCGCGUGUAGGCGGCUCGGUAAGUCUGCUGUGAAAGUCCAGGGCUCAACCCUGGGAUGCCGGUGGAUACUGUCGAGCUCGAGUCCGGAAGAGGCGAGUGGAAUUCCUGGUGUAGCGGUGAAAUGCGCAGAUAUCAGGAGGAACACCGAUGGCGAAGGCAGCUCGCUGGGACGUGACUGACGCUGAGACGCGAAAGCGUGGGGAGCAAACAGG
rnacentral:rRNA from 1 species